AUCCAUAACUAAAUGUGUAAACCUACUUCCUUUUAUUCGCACAUAGAUUCACCUUGAAUAACGAAAUAGCGAAGCUGAGAAGUGCAAAAUAAUAAAAAGAACCGUUUUAAUUUCCUUAAAAUAUCUGGUAUCAAUAAAUUAGAGCACAACACCCAUUACAACGGAUACAUAACAAAAAUCUGGAAUUCUUGGGAUACAUAAUAAUCUUCAUGUACCCGUUCCCUCAUAGACUGAAUUUGUGUGUUGUAGCCCCAAAAGAAUAAACCAGUGCUUUGAUAUAUCAGUAACCAAUGCCAAUAAACCAAUUGUAGCUUUCAGAAUUUAACGAAAGCAAGUGUUGAGCAAUCUAUGAAAGUAGGUAUGUUUAUGAUCCACUCUUAUAUUCAACCCUGGAAGUUCAUUUGUCCUAUGCAUGAUGGGUGAAUUGGUAUCUACUUUCUCCCCUAGAUGCAAACUGACCAGUUUUGAUUUGUCAUUGAAUUUUCUGAUGCUUAAACGGUGCUCAUCGUUUGGUUGUUCAUUACUGCAGAUUCAAAGGCUAUUCUAACAAGUGGGAUUACGUACCUUCACUAAAUCUGAUAAUACCAACAGAGGCUGUAAACCUGAUGAGAAAUACUCCCUGAUCACACACAAGCCUUUGAUAUGAUCGAGUCUGAAUUCGGAAUUACCUGUACCGUAGUCUUUGUGCGGAUGUGCUCCUCUAUCUUCUUCCAGUUGCAGCCAAACCUGAAAUCCACAUGAAUCAAUCAGCUUGCUCAGCGACUGUAGAAUAGCUGGAUUUGGAGGCAGAGUAGAACAGAGCACGUAUCAGUGCCAUGUCCUUGCGCUGACCUGUGGAUGGCAUCAAGGAUUCAUCACCUUCAGUAGAUCUCUCCCUGAUGAUUCUAGGAGAUCUCUCGAUGAUGCCCUCGAAUGCUUUCAGUAGAUAUCUGAUCACAGGUGGGUGCGAGAUCUCUAGAUUUCUAGAAUUUAUCUUUCAUGUAAUUUUAUUUCCUUUCUGAUGCCCUCGAAUUAUGGGCGGUGAUGAUGCCCUGAAGUAUGGUGCGGUGAUGGAAUGUAAUCCCUGUAAUUCUUGUUU